GCGGCGGACGGGUGAGUAACACGUGGGUAACCUGCCUGUAAGACUGGGAUAACUCCGGGAAACCGGGGCUAAUACCGGAUGCUUGUUUGAACCGCAUGGUUCAAACAUAAAAGGUGGCUUCGGCUACCACUUACAGAUGGACCCGCGGCGCAUUAGCUAGUUGGUGAGGUAACGGCUCACCAAGGCAACGAUGCGUAGCCGACCUGAGAGGGUGAUCGGCCACACUGGGACUGAGACACGGCCCAGACUCCUACGGGAGGCAGCAGUAGGGAAUCUUCCGCAAUGGACGAAAGUCUGACGGAGCAACGCCGCGUGAGUGAUGAAGGUUUUCGGAUCGUAAAGCUCUGUUGUUAGGGAAGAACAAGUACCGUUCGAAUAGGGCGGUACCUUGACGGUACCUAACCAGAAAGCCACGGCUAACUACGUGCCAGCAGCCGCGGUAAUACGUAGGUGGCAAGCGUUGUCCGGAAUUAUUGGGCGUAAAGGGCUCGCAGGCGGUUUCUUAAGUCUGAUGUGAAAGCCCCCGGCUCAACCGGGGAGGGUCAUUGGAAACUGGGGAACUUGAGUGCAGAAGAGGAGAGUGGAAUUCCACGUGUAGCGGUGAAAUGCGUAGAGAUGUGGAGGAACACCAGUGGCGAAGGCGACUCUCUGGUCUGUAACUGACGCUGAGGAGCGAAAGCGUGGGGAGCGAACAGGAUUAGAUACCCUGGUAGUCCACGCCGUAAACGAUGAGUGCUAAGUGUUAGGGGGUUUCCGCCCCUUAGUGCUGCAGCUAACGCAUUAAGCACUCCGCCUGGGGAGUACGGUCGCAAGACUGAAACUCAAAGGAAUUGACGGGGGCCCGCACAAGCGGUGGAGCAUGUGGUUUAAUUCGAAGCAACGCGAAGAACCUUACCAGGUCUUGACAUCCUCUGACAAUCCUAGAGAUAGGACGUCCCCUUCGGGGGCAGAGUGACAGGUGGUGCAUGGUUGUCGUCAGCUCGUGUCGUGAGAUGUUGGGUUAAGUCCCGCAACGAGCGCAACCCUUGAUCUUAGUUGCCAGCAUUCAGUUGGGCACUCUAAGGUGACUGCCGGUGACAAACCGGAGGAAGGUGGGGAUGACGUCAAAUCAUCAUGCCCCUUAUGACCUGGGCUACACACGUGCUACAAUGGACAGAACAAAGGGCAGCGAAACCGCGAGGUUAAGCCAAUCCCACAAAUCUGUUCUCAGUUCGGAUCGCAGUCUGCAACUCGACUGCGUGAAGCUGGAAUCGCUAGUAAUCGCG
rnacentral:rRNA from 2 species